UUUUUAAGUGGCUGGACAGUUUUUAACGACACCCUAAACCAUUUAUGUUGUGUCCUCAUCGGGCUCCAAAACUGAAAUCCAAUUGAAAUAAAAAAGGGGGAGCUGCAGUACUUGGCGUUUUCGAUUCCCUCCCGAAAUUUCACUUCCCCCUCCCCAAAUUUCACUUCCCUCCUUCUCCAUUUUCGACUUCCCUCCUUCCCCAUUUUCGACUUCCCUCUUCAAUCGAAAACCUCACCAAUUAGAGAAAAGAUGUUUCAUCCACUCUCUUUUCAGCUUUUAGUUGUAAUAGAAAAAUAGAAAGAAACUGGAGCUGAAAACAGAUUCGAUCUGUUUCGAUUCGGUGGAGGUGGCGAUGACUAUUUGAGUUGAUUCAACUCAUAGUGAGGUUACUCGGUGUGAGAUAUACUCUGGGUCGACAGAUUUUGGCAAGAAUUUCAAUACAAGAAGGUGGACUUUGGCAAUGGUGUACCAGUGAAAACUUCAGUGGAACCUAAAGUAUCUGAGGAAGGGCUUCUUGAUGCUAUUCAGCAGGAUUACUUCCCAUCUGCCUCCUUAGAGAGUUUUGAAUUACCUCUUUCAGAAUAAAAAAGGGUUGGGUCUGAAGGAAAGCCACUAGUCAUCAUUGAUGAUUAUAUGGGCUGCAGUAAGGAGGUAUAGGAAUUGCUACUAUGAUAAUUGGCGGACCUCAUGAAAAGCACAUGCAGGAGCUUAUCCGUUAUCUCCAAUUUGGACUAUGGUGGCUGGCUCUUGGUGUUACCAGUAAAACUUCUGUGAAUUGAACAAACAAUUUCAGUGAACCUUAUAGCUGAUUCUUGGUUAGAUGAAUCUGUUGUAAUUGCUCCUCUUAUGCAGCAUGCCCCGACCAAGUUUGGGAGGUACCAUUGCCCAGAUCGUGAGAACCCCGCUGAGAUUUUAGCUGAUCUUAUAUCUGUUGACUACAGCUCUACUGAAAGUGUCUACUCCUCUCAGAAAAGAAAGAUGCUCUUGUUGAAUCAUUUUCACAACAUCAUCACUAGUUCUGUAUGCAACUCCGAUUACAUUAAGGGAAAUCUCCAAGAACAGCACCGGGUUGAGCAGGAAGAGUAGAGUUCAGAAGAAGGGAGGUUGGUGGAGGCAAUUCUGGUUGCUCCUAAGGCUUGCGUGGAUGCAGGCUUCUCGUGAUAGACCCACAAAUAAAGUUCAGGAAAGAAUGUCAAUUGCAUCAGCUCUUAUAUUUGGGUCAGUUUUUUGGAGAAUGGAAGUUCUCAGACACCAAUACAAGACAUAAUGGGAUUGCUUCAGUGCCAUGGAGAUGUUUAUCGAGUAGAGUGGGCAGAGCAGGUUGAUGGAUUUUGGUGCAGAUGAACUAAAAUAGUUAGCAUAUGUAUAUGCAGAUUGUUUACUUCUGGCCGAGAAACCGCAACUUAGGACGCUGUACCAGUUACUUGUAUAGCUUGGUUAGUUGAGGUAAGUAACUUUUGUUUGCUCUGGAACCAUGAUAACUAUAUUAUGGAUGCUAUGUUACUAUAUUUAUUAUACACUUAUGCUUUGAGUGCACCAUUUUUGUUUCUGUUGUGAAUGCUUUAGCUUCUACUAGUAUGUAUCAUGCAAAAUGUGAUAAGUUUUGAAAGAUAUUUCUGCUAGGUACUCUCUUGGCAUAUCAAUACCAGUAGGUUGUCUGGGGAGAAAUAUGUUCUAUAAGUGCAAAUUAUGCACUGUUUUGUCUUUGUAGGUUCUGCAUUGUCUGUUAUAUGGCCCACAUAGUGGGUUUGUCAUUGACGGGUGACAUCUGUCUCCCACCUAUGAUAAAUUUGGGUCGCACGGGUAUGGUGUGUCUAGAAGGACCUAGAAAGUUCUGUUUGAUUUGUCUUGAGUGCACUCCAUGUACUAUGCAUUUUACUAUAUAGUAUAUAAGUGUGGAAUGUCUUCCUAUUUGUUA